rnacentral:rRNA from 1 species
UGGGGAAUUUUGGACAAUGGGGGAAACCCUGAUCCAGCCAUCCCGCGUGUGCGAUGAAGGCCUUCGGGUUGUAAAUCACUUUUUGCAGGAAAGAAACGUCAUGGGUUAAUACCCCGUGAAACUGACGGUACCUGCAGAAUAAGCACCGGCUAACUACGUGCCAGCAGCCGCGGUAAUACGUAGGGUGCAAGCGUUAAUCGGAAUUACUGGGCGUAAAGCGUGCGCAGGCGGUUCGGAAAGAAAGAUGUGAAAUCCCAGAGCUCAACUUUGGAACUGCAUAUUUAACUACCGGGCUAGAGUGUGUCAGAGGGAGGUGGAAUUCCGCGUGUAGCAGUGAAAUGCGUAGAUAUGCGGAGGAACACCGAUGGCGAAGGCAGCCUCCUGGGAUAACACUGACGCUCAUGCACGAAAGCGUGGGGAGCAAACAGG